rnacentral:tRNA from 1 species
GGAUGUAGCGCAGCUUGGUAGCGCAUCUGUUUUGGGAACAGAGGGUCGCAGGUUCAAAUCCUGUCAUCC